rnacentral:snRNA from 1 species
AGCCGGGUUACGGUGCCC